CCCUUCAGAAAGAAAAGUUGCUCCGAGGGAAACUCCGAAGAUGGGCCCACAUCUAAGCCCAAGAAGAGUCAAGCUGGCCUGUCCCCCAUAUCCAGGAAGACUUUGUCCUCAAAGAACAAUGAGAACACCAGCAAACAGUCCAAGCGCUCUACCCAGGGGUUACCUGUCCUCAAGUACUCUGGGCAGGGCUCCAGACUCUCUGCUUCUUCUGCUUCCCAGUCAAUUGCUGACUCCCUCCUGACUGCUGUGAGCCCAUGACUGGUCCUACACAGGAGCACUCAGCUACCUCAAGGGAACCAGCCUGCUGACCAGCCUGAGCCUCUACUCCCGCCUCCACUUUGCCCCUCAUCAGAGUAUUUUUGAAGUGGUUCUAUUGUAGAUAUGGGCAUCUGGAGGGCUGGAGGGGUGGUGGUGAUGGGGAGAAGGUGAGGAAGGUUCACCCUCUGUCACCUUACUGCCUGGUUGGGCUGGCACCUCAUAUCUCAGUAGAGAAGCCAGUGACAGCCAAGCAGCCUUAUAAAGCAGGGUUUGGUUUCU
rnacentral:lncRNA from 1 species